UGGUAUGGUUGUCUUCCCUGUUGUUCCCUGUUGAAAUAAAAGCGUCUAAAGGGCAGAAGCUAAGCCAGGUGAGACCAGAUGACUACUUGGAUGGGAGACUGCCAGGAAAUACCAGGUGCUAUAGGCU
rnacentral:rRNA from 1 species